UGCCGCCGCGCAUGCGCCGCCCGCGGCCGGGGGUGGGAGAGGGGGUGCGGGCCCGGGGCCGUCCCAAGGGCCCGGCGCUGGGAGCAGUGCCCGGUCCUCCUUGGGGCUCCCCGCAGGGCGGCGGUGCCCAGUCGGCUGCGUAUGCCGGGCGUAGCGGCCACCCUUGAGAAGCCGCACAACGCGGGGACACCAAAGUGGGCACAGCUCGGAGCUGGAGCACGAACGCUGGGAAGCUUCACUGCAGUGAACGCAGGAACGCCAAGGCAGCUGUAAGUUGCGGGGAAAAGCCUGGAAAUGUGGUCCAAAGGCACCGCGAGGCUCAGGAGCCAGAUGCCAAACAACAACUCUGAAAUGUCUGAAGUUUUGAGGCAAUCCAGCAUGCUCUGCAUCUUCACCUACGUUUUCCAAGUGUGGAGGGGCUCAGCAGUAAAUCAAGCUUCACCUUACAAAGAGGGUGGUGGUGCGUGCCCAGGCCCUGCAGUGUGAAGCUGGAGGCCUACGAAGUCCAUCAAUUGCUUGGGUGUUUCUGAGGACAGCAGGCUGGAGAUCAUGCCAGAGAGUGGCAUGGGCAGCUUGGCUUCAC